rfam:Streptomyces sp. AcH 505 scaffold00001, whole genome shotgun sequence.
CUUCAACGACCCCAGCCACAGCGGCCGGUCCUCCGACCGGUCCUGCCCGUACGUCGCGAUCAGGGCCUGCGCCUC